rnacentral:rRNA from 1 species
AUUAGAUAAAAAACCAAUGCCCUUCGGGGCUCCUUGGUGAUUCAUAAUAACUUAUCGAAUCGCAUGGCCUUGCGCUGGCGAUGGUUCAUUCAAAUUUCUGCCCUAUCAACUUUCGAUGGUAGGAUAGUGGCCUACCAUGGUGGCAACGGGUAACGGGGAAUUAGGGUUCGAUUCCGGAGAGGGAGCCUGAGAAACGGCUACCACAUCUAAGGAAGGCAGCAGGCGCGCAAAUUACCCAAUCCCGAUACGGGGAGGUAGUGACAAUAAAUACUGAUACAGGGCUCUUUCGGGUCUUGUAAUUGGAAUGAGUACAAUUUAAACACCUUAACGAGGAGCAAUUGGAGGGCAAGUCUGGUGCCAGCAGCCGCGGUAAUUCCAGCUCCAAUAGCGUAUAUUAAAGUUGUUGCGGUUAAAAAGCUCGUAGUUGAACCUUGGGUCUGGCUGGCCGGUCCGCCUCACCGCGUGCACUGGUCCGGCUGGAUCUUUCCUUCUGGGGAGCCCCAUGGCCUUUAUUGGC